GGGAUUAUGAAUCAACUGUGAGGCUAGGCAUUGUGGAGAAUACCUAUCGGUUGAAUCAUAUUAACCAAACAUAUGAUUUUGUAAAGAGGACAAGGGAAGAGUAUGCAAAAUUGAACAAAGCAGAGAUGUCCAUAUGGGAAGCCAUUGAACUCCUUGACAGUUUUGUGGAUGAAAGUGACCCUGACCUGGAGGAACCUCAGAUUCAGCAUUUGCUGCAGUCGGCAGAAGCCAUAAGAAAAGAUUAUCCUAAUGAAGAUUGGAUGCACUUGACUGCCCUUAUUCAUGAUGUUGGAAAGGUUCUUUACCAUUCUAAAUUUGGAUCACUU